rnacentral:rRNA from 1 species
GCAUAUCAAUAAGCGGAGGAAAAGAAACUAACAAGGAUUCCCCUAGUAACGGCGAGCGAAGCGGGAAGAGCUCAAAUUUGAAAGCUGGCACCUCCGGUGUCCGCGUUGUAAUCUCGAGACGUGUUUUCCGUGCGGCUCUAUGGACAAGUCCCUUGGAAUAGGGCAUCGUAGAGGGUGAGAAUCCCGUACUUGCCAUGGAAGAACCGUGCUUUGCGAUACACGCUCUAAGAGUCGAGUUGUUUGGGAUUGCAGCUCAAAAUGGGUGGUAGACUCCAUCUAAAGCUAAAUAUCGGGGAGAGACCGAUAGCGAACAAGUACCGUGAGGGAAAGAUGAAAAGCACUUUGGAAAGAGAGUUAAAAGUACGUGAAAUUGUCGAAAGGGAAGCACUUGAAGUCAGCCAUGCUGCUUGAGACUCAGCCUGGCCUUUGGGCUUGGUGUAUUUCUCGGUGGCAAGCCAGCAUUGGUUUGGGUCGUCGGAGAAGCGCAUAGGGAAUGUAGCGUCUCCGGACGUGUUAUAGCCUUAUGCAGGAUACGACGACCUGGAUCAAGGAACGCAGUGUGCCCUCUGGGCGGGUCUUCGGACACCUUCACACUUAGGAUGCUGGCGUAAUGGCUUUAAGUGGCCCGUCUUGA